rnacentral:lncRNA from 1 species
UUGGCGUGUUUGAAGCGGUGUCCAAAAUCUUUCCUGCAUUUUCAGGGGGGGGGCGCUGGGCUUACAGAAG